AGCAGCUAUGUAAAAUUGAUUUUUGUUCUCAAUAUUUAGCACACAAUUGGAAAACAGGCUGCCUCAGAAACUCUGGUUCCCAAGUGGGUAGACUGAAUCAAUGAAGACUAAUCACUCUAUUUGAAUCAGAAAAUC